CAGUCGCCGCGGUAAAACGUAGGUGGCAAGCGUUGUCCGGAAUUAUUGGGCGUAAAGGGCUCGCAGGCGGUUUCUUAAGUCUGACGUGAAAGCCCCCGGCUCAACCGGGGAGGGUCAUUGGAAACUGGGAAACUUGAGUGCAGAAGAGGAGAGUGGAAUUCCACGUGUAGCGGUGAAAUGCGUAGAGAUGUGGAGGAACACCAGUGGCGAAGGCGACUCUCUGGUCUGUAACUGACGCUGAUGCACGGAAGCUAGGGGAGCAAACAGGAUUAGAUACCCGUGUAGUCCCUGUCUCUUAUAA
rnacentral:rRNA from 1 species